rnacentral:lncRNA from 1 species
GUCGGGGAUGAAGUCCAGCUCCCGUAGGAGUCCGGAUGCAGUCUAGAAGGUGGUCGAUCAUCAUGGAAAUCUGGGUGGAGUUCGUCCGUCAUGAUGAAUCCGACCGACGCUGGUGGGGGCUUAUCCGUCGGCAAAACUUGGGAGUGUUGCGGAGGCUCGACCGUCAGAGAGGUUCGAAAAGAUGUCACCGAAGGUCGGAAGUCGGU